UUUUUAAAUUGCUGUGGUAUUUUGACUAUACAAAGGUAUUGUAAUAAGAUUUUAAUUGAAUGCUAAAAGAAUGGAAAUUUAAAAAAAAACUUUUUUAAAAAUAAAAAUUGAAUUUUUUUUAAUUUGUGCAAAAACAAUUAUACUUAUUAAAGACAAGAAGACCCUAAGAAUUUAAGAUUUUACAAUUAAAAAGUUUUUUUUUUAAAAUCUUGAUUGGGGCGAUCAAAAAAUAUUAAUAACUUUUUAAAAUUUAAAUUGAUCUAUUAUUAAUAAACUAAUGAAUUAAAUACUCUAGGGAUAACAGCGUAAUAAUUUUUGAUAGAUCUUAUUGACAAAAUAGUUUGCGACCUCGAUGUUGGAUUAGGAUUCUUUUUUAAUGAAGAAGU
rnacentral:rRNA from 1 species